CCUACGGGAGGCAGCAGUGAGGAAUAUUGGUCAAUGGACGAGAGUCUGAACCAGCCAAGUAGCGUGAAGGAUGACUGCCCUAUGGGUUGUAAACUUCUUUUAUAUGGGAAUAAAACGUUCCAAGUGUGGGAUUUUGUAUGUACCAUAUGAAUAAGGAUCGGCUAACUCCGUGCCAGCAGCCGCGGUAAUACGGAGGAUCCGAGCGUUAUCCGGAUUUAUUGGGUUUAAAGGGAGCGUAGGUGGAUUGUUAAGUCAGUUGUGAAAUUUUGCGGCUCAACCGUAAAAUUGCAGUUGAAACUGGCAGUCUUGAGUACAGUAGAGGUGGGCGGAAUUCGUGGUGUAGCGGUGAAAUGCUUAGAUAUCAUGAAGAACUCCGAUUGCGAAGGCAGCUCACUGGACUGCAACUGACACUGAGGCUCGAAAGUGUGGGUAUCAAACAGGAUUAGAUACCCCUGUAGUC
rnacentral:rRNA from 1 species